GGAGGCAAGGGGUGUAGCCCUCCUGGUGCCUGGAAGGGCUGUCUGGGCCCCCAUGGCGGGUGCUCCUCACUCACUCAAGCACCAAUCAUGAGCCUCCACUGAGAAGCUUCCACAGCAGCCCCAGGGUCAGCACCAGGCACCAAGUGCAUGCCAGCCCUGGUCAGUGAGCCUUGAUUGAAGGCCUACGGCUCGCCCACCCCAAGGAGUUCGAUCUGAUCUCUGGGACAAACGAUUCCUACACAGAGUGGAGUAGGGGUCUCCACACAGCAUAGCCAGCCACAGACAUGGAGCCUCUGCAGAGCUGGGCACAGCGGAGGGAGGCUGAGAUACAGCUAAAGGAAACAGCCAAGGCGCCUGAGGAGCCCCAAGCUUAGCGGCUCCAUUCACAGACAAGGAAUCCACGCCCCCACAUCUCCUUAGGUGGCAGGAGACAGGCACCUGGCCUUCCUCGGGCGUUACAACUUGGAAAACAAGACCAGGCGCAGUGGCUCACACCUGUAAUUCCAGCACUUUGGGAGGCUGAGGUGGGCAGAUCACCUAAAGUCGGGAGUUCGAGACCAGUCUGGACAACAUGGUGAAACCGCAUGUCUUCUAAAAAUACAAAAAUUAGCUGGGUGUGGUGGCGGGCACCUCUAAUCCCAGCUACUUGGGAGGCUGAGGCAGGAGAACUGCUUGAACCCAGGAGGCGGAGGU
ensembl:lncRNA novel transcript